AGAGCGAACGCUGGCGGCAGGCUUAACACAUGCAAGUCGAGCGGGCGUAGCAAUACGUCAGCGGCAGACGGGUGAGUAACGCGUGGGAACGUACCUUUUGGUUCGGAACAACCCAGGGAAACUUGGGCUAAUACCGGAUAAGCCCUUACGGGGAAAGAUUUAUCGCCGAAAGAUCGGCCCGCGUCUGAUUAGCUAGUUGGUGAGGUAAUGGCUCACCAAGGCGACGAUCAGUAGCUGGUCUGAGAGGAUGAUCAGCCACAUUGGGACUGAGACACGGCCCAAACUCCUACGGGAGGCAGCAGUGGGGAAUAUUGGACAAUGGGCGCAAGCCUGAUCCAGCCAUGCCGCGUGAGUGAUGAAGGCCCUAGGGUUGUAAAGCUCUUUUGUGCGGGAAGAUAAUGACGGUACGCAAGAAUAAGCCCGGCUAACUUCGUGCCAGCAGCCGC
rnacentral:rRNA from 1 species